UAGCUACAGGCUUAACACAUGCAAGUCGAGGGGCAGCAUUUUAGUUUGCUUGCAAACUGAAGAUGGCGACCGGCGCACGGGUGAGUAACACGUAUCCAACCUGCCGAUAACUCCGGAAUAGCCUUUCGAAAGAAAGAUUAAUACCGGAUAGCAUACGAAUAUCGCAUGAUAUUUUUAUUAAAGAAUUUCGGUUAUCGAUGGGGAUGCGUUCCAUUAGUUUGUUGGCGGGGUAACGGCCCACCAAGACAACGAUGGAUAGGGGUUCUGAGAGGAAGGUCCCCCACAUUGGAACUGAGACACGGUCCAAACUCCUACGGGAGGCAGCAGUGAGGAAUAUUGGUCAAUGGGCGAGAGCCUGAACCAGCCAAGUAGCGUGAAGGAUGAAGGCUCUAUGGGUCGUAAACUUCUUUUAUAUGGGAAUAAAGUUUUCCACGUGUGGAAUUUUGUAUGUACCAUAUGAAUAAGGAUCGGCUAACUCCGUGCCAGCAGCCGCGGUAAUACGGAGGAUCCGAGCGUUAUCCGGAUUUAUUGGGUUUAAAGGGAGCGUAGGUGGAUUGUUAAGUCAGUUGUGAAAGUUUGCGGCUCAACCGUAAAAUUGCAGUUGAAACUGGCAGUCUUGAGUACAGUAGAGGUGGGCGGAAUUCGUGGUGUAGCGGUGAAAUGCUUAGAUAUCACGAAGAACUCCGAUUGCGAAGGCAGCUCACUAGACUGUCACUGACACUGAUGCUCGAAAGUGUGGGUAUCAAACAGGAUUAGAUACCCUGGUAGUCCACACAGUAAACGAUGAAUACUCGCUGUUUGCGAUAUACAGUAAGCGGCCAAGCGAAAGCAUUAAGUAUUCCACCUGGGGAGUACGCCGGCAACGGUGAAACUCAAAGGAAUUGACGGGGGCCCGCACAAGCGGAGGAACAUGUGGUUUAAUUCGAUGAUACGCGAGGAACCUUACCCGGGCUUAAAUUGCAACAGAAUAUAUUGGAAACAGUAUAGCCGUAAGGCUGUUGUGAAGGUGCUGCAUGGUUGUCGUCAGCUCGUGCCGUGAGGUGUCGGCUUAAGUGCCAUAACGAGCGCAACCCUUAUCUUUAGUUACUAACAGGUGAUGCUGAGGACUCUAGAGAGACUGCCGUCGUAAGAUGUGAGGAAGGUGGGGAUGACGUCAAAUCAGCACGGCCCUUACGUCCGGGGCUACACACGUGUUACAAUGGGGGGUACAGAAGGCGGCUACCUGGUGACAGGAUGCUAAUCCCAAAAACCUCUCCCAGUUCGGAUCGAAGUCUGCAACCCGACUUCGUGAAGCUGGAUUCGCUAGUAAUCGCGCAUCAGCCAUGGCGCGGUGAAUACGUUCCCGGGCCUUGUACACACCGCCCGUCAAGCCAUGAAAGCCGGGGGUACCUGAAGUACGUAACCGCAAGGAGCGUCCUAGGGUAAAACUGGUAAUUGGGGCUAAGU
rnacentral:rRNA from 1 species